GGUAUUGGUACGGUGCUCGAGCAUGGAGGGCUCAGAUAGCGGGCUUUUAGCUAGAGCGCACGUAUAGCCUACAGACCUUGACGCUCUCUGGUCCCCACUCCAGUCCAGUUGGUGGCGGUAAUGCACCUUAAAGUUGGUUGCAACUGACAUACAAAGUCCACAGAAGAAGAAGGUGCGACGGUUUGAAGAAGUGGUUGGUCAAUAGGCCCAUGUUGUGAUUAGUAGGACUAGCACAGUGUAUUUGUUUCUCCUGGAGGUGAACAUGUAGUAAUGUUUUUCCUAUUUUGAAGUGAGACCUUCGCCGGUGUUAUCCAGACAGGGGAGGACAGCUUCACAAAAACAACCUGAGCGAUCAUUUUCCUAGAUCCUACUUUCUUGCCCUGUCAGAUGUAAGUUCCCACCAGGAUGUCAGCACAACAUGAAUGUGGCAGCAGUUUUUGUUUGGUUCAGCCUGGUAGUCACUAAAGCCAUUUGUACUCUGGAAGAGUACCGUCUGGUGUGCUAUGUGAACAGCAGGACCCAGCACCAUCCUGACAUGCUUGCCUUCAGCCUGGACAUGGCUGACCCAUCCCUCUGCACUCAUAUCAUCAUGGCCUACAUGGACCUGGACCAGGACUAUCACAUCACACCCUUCACACAGGAGGACAAGACCCUCUGCAACUCCCUCAACAUGCUUAAAGAGGGGUGUGUGUGUGUGUGUUACUACCACAACCAUCAGGUUGUAUAAUUCAAUCUCCUCUCUGCCCUCCACCAGGAACCCAGAUCUGAAAACUCUGCUUGCUGUUGGGGGAAGGAACUCUACGGACACCAGGCUCCUAAAAAUGUCCUCUGACAACACCAGGAGGAAGACGUUUGUCCAGUCUGUUCUGAAACACCUGAGGCAGGAGGGCUUUGAUGGACUGGAUGUGGUGUGGUAACCUCACUCUGCUUCUAAUGUAGCACAGGGGGGAAACAUGUAUUCACUAAUCUGCUCAAGAUGAGAGCGCUGCAGCGUCAGGAGCUGGGUGGAGCCAUGGUGUGGUCUCUGGAUCUGGACGACUUCACGGGGACAUUGUGUGGCAAAGGUCGCUUCCCGUUCACCAGACUGCUCAAAGGUCGCUUCGCGUUCACCAGACUGCUCAAAGGUCGCUUCCCGUUCACCAGACUGCUCAAAGGUCGCUUCCCGUUCACCAGACUGCUCAAAUGUCGCUUCCCGUUCACCAGACUACUCAAAUGUCGCUUCCCGUUCACCAGACUGCUCAAAGGUCACUACCCGUUCACCAGACUGCUCAAAGCGUCGCUUCCCGUUCACCAGACUGCUCAAAGGUCGCUUCCCGUUCACCAGACUGCUCAAUGGUCACUUCCCGUUCACCAGACUGCUCAAAGGUCGCUUCCCGUUCACCAGACUGCUCAUAGCUUCGCUUCUCAGGGAUAAGGGGCCACGACAUCAUAAACGCCACCACCGCUCACGCCACCGUCAUCACCAUCGCCAUCCACAUCGUCAUGGUGGUUUCCUUUCCCGUGACAGCCAUCGCACUGGUUACCAUGUUCAUUGUCACCUUGACCGUCACAACAUUUAAUCAAACAGUGGAGUGUGACUGUAACGUAACUCACUACACUGGCAAGACUCAACAUACCAUCCCUGGGGUGGCAGGUAGUGUAGUGGUCAGAGCAUUGGACUAGUAACCGAAAGGUUGCAAGAUCGAAUCCCCGAGCCGACGAGGUAAAAAUCUGUCGUUCUGCCCCUGAACAAGGCAGUAACCCACUGUUCCUAGGAAAAUAAGAAUUUGUUCUUAACUGACUUGCCUAGUUAAAGGUAAAAUAAAGAAAGAAAUAAAAAAUCCCUGCAAGAAUAUAUUAGCAUGUUUUUUUAUAUGGUAGAUCAGGUUGGACUGUUUGUUGGCUCUGUGAGUGAUUUCUGUCAUGGUAUAGUAGAGAUGAGGCUCUAGAUUUAUCUUCAUAACUUGCACUCUGUCCUCUAUGGAGGAAUACUAUGCGUUAAUUGUAUUGUCUUAUGACACAUUUUACUGCUUUACAAAUAAUAAAAUGAAUGGCUCCAUUUCCAUGGCCUAAUAUAACGUUUUGAUAUACCAUUAAAUGACAAAUUGUU